ensembl:lncRNA
UAUGUAACAGAAUCAGGCCCUGGCGGUCAUAACUGCAGUACUACACAGGUCAGCAAAUGAGAUUGUUCACAUACACACUGAGGAACUCUCUUGUUAGUUGAGAAACAUCUCUUGGUUAUGGGAAAGCAAUUAUGGAUGAUAAGUGCAGCACUCACACCAGUGCUGGCCGUGGCUGAGUGAACUCACUCCUUUCCAGUGCCGUGAGUCCAGGACCACCGGGAGGACGGAAGAUCUGAAACUUUCCCAGAAAACCAUUUCCAAAAACAGUGAUGUUCUAUGAGAGAUUCCAUGCUGAGAGAUCAUUCCUUCCAAUUGCCUGACUGUUCCUCCAAAAACUUUGGAUACACAGUGUGAAGGCUGUAUCAGUUUUUCCUGUUCUUCAGUCUGAGAUGGCUAUUGCAGUGAAGUGGUUGUUACUUGCGGUGCCUUUUUGGAGUGUUCCAGCCAAUUAAAGGAGAUAUUGAAUGUGGUGAGAAAAUCAUUGGCCACUGAAACGAAGCUGCCGCCAAUGAAUUAUUUACCUCGAAGACUUCAGCCAGCUCUGUCAAUAACCUUUGGGGAAGCUCCAGCUGAUGUGCCGACAGAACAGCAUGGGCACACGGUGCUUGGCCACUGGAAGAAUCUGGC